UACGUAGGGACCAAGCGUUGUUCGGAUUUACUGGGCGUAAAGGGCGCGUAGGCGGCAAUUCAAGUCAGCUGUGAAAUCUCCGAGCUUAACUCGGAACGGUCAGCUGAUACUGUUUUGCUAGAGUGCAGAAAGGGCAACCGGAAUUCUUGGUGUAGCGGUGAAAUGCGUAGAUAUCAAGAGGAACACCUGAGGCGAAAGGCGGGUUGCUAGGCUGACACUGACGCUGAGGCGCGAAAGCUAGGGUAGCAAACGGGG
rnacentral:rRNA from 1 species